AAAUAAUACUAAGGAUUAUUAAUGCUAUGCACAGGGAGAGACUGGUAUAAUACAUGGGGAUAAAAAUAGAAAGGUAGCAGAGAGAAUAGAGGAGGUCAUCGUGUGCUCUGCUUCUAUUGUGCUCUCACACUUUCUGAACAGCAGAUGGAUUGUCCCCUUUAGGCUUCAUUCAGUCUUCAGUGUAGUAUCACUGUCCUUGCUUUGUUACAAUCAACACCUUUUAUCACUUCAUGAACCUGUAUUUUAUUAUUUCAUGACUCUGUAUUUUAUCACAUCAUGACUCUGUAUUUUAUCACAUCAUGACUCUGUAUUUACAGGUUUAUUUACUAAUAGAGAUAUAUGGGUCUAUCAUUAUAUUUGAAGAUAUCUCUGUUGUACAUUUCAUCAGAUCUUUUACAGAUCAAGAUCAGUAAAUUGUUACAACUCAAGGUCACCAAUACUGCAAUAGCUUGAGUAUUGCUUUGACCUUCAUGAAUAUGCAUCACACUCAUUUUAGGCUUAAUUUUUCUUUCCUUUAUUUUUGCUUUAAGAGCUAAAACCCUAG
rnacentral:lncRNA from 1 species